AUUGAACGCUGGCGGCAGGCCUAACACAUGCAAGUCGCGCGGAGCGGCGGACGGGUGAGUAAUGUCUGGGAAACUGCCUGAUGGAGGGGGAUAACUACUGGAAACGGUAGCUAAUACCGCAUACUAUCAGAUGAGCCUAGGUCGGAUUAGCUAGUUGGUGGGGUAACGGCCUACCAAGGCGACGAUCCGUAACUGGUCUGAGAGGACGAUCAGUCACACUGGAACUUAGACACGGUCCAGACUCCGACGGGAGGCAUCAGUGGGGAAUAUUGGACAAUGGGCGAAAGCCUGAUCCAGCCAUGCCGCGUGUGUGAAGAAGGUCUUCGGAUUGUAAAGCACUUUAAGUUGGGAAGCGUUACCAACAGAAUAAGCACCGGCUAACUUCGUGCCAGCAGCCGCGGUAAUUC
rnacentral:rRNA from 1 species